rnacentral:rRNA from 1 species
GAUGAACGCUAGCGGGAGGCUUAAUACAUGCAAGUCGAGCGGUAAGGUACUUCGGUACCCUAGAGCGGCGCACGGGUGAGUAACGCGUACGCAAUCUACCUUUCAGAGUGGAAUAGCCCUGGGAAACUGGGAUUAAUACCGCAUAGUAUUUAGAGUUGGCAUCAACUUUAAAUUAAAACUCCGGUGCUGAAAGAUGAGCGUGCGUACUAUUAGCUAGUUGGUAAGGUAACGGCUUACCAAGGCUACGAUAGUUAGGGGGCGUGAGAGCGUGACCCCCCACACGGGUACUGAGAUACGGCCCAGACUCCUACGGGAGGCAGCAGUCGAGAAGCUUCGGCAAUGGGCGAAAGCCUGACCGAGCGAUGCCGCGUGAGCGAAGAAGGUCCUAUGGAUUGUAAAGCUCUGUCAGAUUGGGAAGAAAACCUCGCGGUUAAUACCCGCGGGGCUUGACGGU